rnacentral:rRNA from 1 species
UACGUGGGGGGCAAGCGUUGUUCGGAAUUACUGGGCGUAAAGGGUUCGUAGGCGGCUUGUUAAGUCAGACGUGAAAUCCCUCAGCUUAACUGGGGAACUGCGUCUGAGACUGGUGAGCUUGAGUGCAGGAGAGGAACGCGGAAUUCCAGGUGUAGCGGUGAAAUUCGUAGAUAUUGGGAAGAACACCGAUGGCGAAGGCAGCCAUCUGGACCGACACUGACGCUGAGGCGCGAAAGCGUGGGGAGCAAACAGG